UCUUCCUAGAUAACGUUGGCGUUCCAAAAAGUUUUCCCUUUUUCAAAAUCACGUUUGAAUUUUUUUAAUUUUUUUACUCUGCGACCUAUAAUAUGUACGUGCGUGCCACUUUUAGACACAUAACCUUUAUUAGUACUCCCAGUGAUCUAAACGCUCUUAUAUUUCUUUACGGAGGGAGUAAAAUGGUUAUGGACGUGGUUCUCUUAAGUGAGGAGUACGUAUCUGGUGAUAUGACACAUCACAUGAUACAGUGAUCCCAUACUAUGUGGAGAGUUGGAUCUGUACUGGAUGGACAGGAUGGAGCAGACUCCCACCACAUUGCAUAAUAUGCAUACUGCACCCUAGAAUAUCUUGUAAUAGAGCAUCAAGUCCAGUUCCCUUCGUCCUCUUUGCCUCGUACUCGGUUGUGUUCGUUCCCCAGCCGCCGCCGCCGCUACCGGGCACGUCGGUCUUGUUCCAGCGCCACUAGCCACCAUGACGACAGCCCCUUCCUCUCUUGCUAGCCCCAUAAUACACAGCCUAUUCAACUCACGCGCGCUAGCCAAGUCCGCUGCUUAGAUCCGAUCCAAACUCUCGACAGUACUAAGCGGGCCGAGACAAAUCUCUCUCCACCGCCGCUGCAGCCGGAGAAUGUACGCAGCAUCGGGCAAGAGGUUGUAUACAUGUCAAAGCAUUAUCACAGGUAUCCAACAGUCUCAUCCUCAAGAACAGUCCCUUGGUGUGUAAGCGUUUGUUGAUCAGCUGGGCACACAUUCUUCCCUAGCCACCAUGAGGGGGUUGCACAUAGAGGUGAAGUAGCAGAUGUGAUUAUACAAUUUUUUUCAUUUCUGUUAGUUAAGACAAAUAUUUUCUUAAUAUGUAUUUUGCUUUACUACUGAUAUGUAAGACCCUAAAAGGUGCAUAAGGUUCCACACCAAUAAUCAUUGGGGAUAGAAGCAUGAAUUGCUAUUUUCCUUAUUAUUUUGCUUCAUUGCUUGGCUUACAAAAAUUUCUGGAUAUGAAUAUAGUAUGGGAGCAGAGCAUGUAAUUGAGUUCCUUCAAUGAAAUAUAUAUUUGCUAGCCUA